GACGAACGCUGGCGGCGUGCCUAAUACAUGCAAGUUGAGCGCUGAAGGUUGGUACUUGUACCAACUGGAUGAGCAGCGAACGGGUGAGUAACGCGUGGGGAAUCUGCCUUUGAGCGGGGGACAACAUUUGGAAACGAAUGCUAAUACCGCAUAAAAACUUUAAACACAAGUUUUAAGUUUGAAAGAUGCAAUUGCAUCACUCAAAGAUGAUCCCGCGUUGUAUUAGCUAGUUGGUGAGGUAAAGGCUCACCAAGGCGAUGAUACAUAGCCGACCUGAGAGGGGGAUCGGCCACAGUGGGACUGAGACACGGCCCAAACUCCUACGGGAGGCAGCAGUAGGGGAUCUUCGGCAAUGGACGAAAGGCUGAACGGUCAACGCCGCGUGAGUGAAGAAGGGUUUCGGAUCGUAAAACUCUGUUGGUAGAGAAGAACGUUGGUGAGAGUGGAAAGCUCAUCAAGUGACGGUAACUACCCAGAAAGGGACGGCUAGCUACGUG
rnacentral:rRNA from 1 species